ACAACAACAACAAUAACAGCCGACGAAAAAAAAAAAAAAAACACGUANNNGGCGGUUAAACCCGACUAAUUUUUUUUUUUUU